CCUACGGGUGGCAGCAGUGGGGCAUAUUGCACAAUGGGGGAAACCCUGAUGCAGCGACGCCGCGUGAGUGAAGAAGUAAUUCGUUAUGUAAAGCUCUAUCAGCAGGGAAGAAAAUGACGGUACCUGAGUAAGAAGCCCCGGCUACCUACGUGCCAGAAGCCGCGAGAAUACGUCAGGGGCAAGCGUUCUCCGGAUUUACUGGGUGUCAAGGGAGCGUAGAUGGCAGUGCAAGUCUGGAGUGAAAGGCGGGGGCUCAACCCCCGGGCUGCCUUGGAAACUGUACGGCUGGAGAGGAGGAGAGGUAAGUGGAAUGCCUAGUGUAGCGGUGAAAUGCGUAGAUAUUAGGAGGAACUCCAGUGGCGAAGGCGGCUUACUGGACUGUAACUGACGCUGAGGCUCGAAAGCGUGGGGAGCAAACAGGAUUAGAUACCCUGGUAGUC
rnacentral:rRNA from 1 species